GAGGGGAUUGAAGGAGUGCAAAACGCAAGAAAUCGCCGCCCAAGGAUACGAGCAAAACUGCACAAAAACUCAACGAAAACGCAUUUUAAUCGGUCCAAAUGAAAGAUAAUUCAUCAAAGAGUAAUGUAAUCGGAGUAAAAUUAAUUUUAAACAGUGCAAAAGUGAGAAAACAAACCUGAAAAACGUAGCCCGUGGAGAGAAAACGCAAGGAAGAUGAUGAACAAUGAGUGCGCAUAACUGCUGCCUCGUGUUCACAGUGCUUUAAUGCAGACAUUUAGAAGUUAGUUCCCCCCUAACAGACGUCUACAGAAGUCGGUUCCCCUUACAAUAGACGUCUAAAGUGCUCUAGAAGUCGGAGUGGCGGGAUUAGACGUCUAAAUGGAGUCAAAAAGUGACUUUUUAAAUUUUUGGGUUGAGUAUUCAGAAGUCAGUUCCCGCCAUAACAGACGUCUACAAACAUCGGUUCCCCAAAGGGGAAGACGUCUAAAGUGCUUUAGAAGUCGGAGUGGCGGGAUCAGACGUGUAAAUG
rnacentral:lncRNA from 1 species